GACGAACGCUGGCGGCGUGCCUAAUACAUGCAAGUCGAGCGCAGGAAGCUGACGGAACUCUUCGGAGGGAAGGCAGUGGAAUGAGCGGCGGACGGGUGAGUAACACGUAAGGAACCUGCCUCAAGGAUUGGGAUAACUCCGAGAAAUCGGAGCUAAUACCGGAUAGUUCAUCGGACCGCAUGGUCCGUUGAUGAAAGGCGCUCCGGCGUCACCUUGAGAUGGCCUUGCGGUGCAUUAGCUAGUUGGUGGGGUAACGGCCCACCAAGGCGACGCUGCAUAGCCGGCCUGAGAGGGUGAUCGGCCACCCUGGGACUGAGACACGGCCCAGACUCCUACGGGAGGCAGCAGCAGGGAAUCUUCCACAAUGGACGAAAGUCUGAUGGAGCAACGCCGCGUGAGUGAUGAAGGUUUUCGGAUCGUAAAACUCUGUUGUAAGGGAAGAACACGUACGAGAGGAAAUGCUCGUACCUUGACGGUACCUUACGAGAAAGCCACGGCUAACUACGUGCCAGCAGCCGCCGUAA
rnacentral:rRNA from 1 species